rnacentral:rRNA from 1 species
AGAGUUUGAUCCUGGCUCAGAACGAACGCUGGCGGCGUGGCUAACCCAUGCAAGUCGAGCGCGAAAGUUCCCUUCGGGGAGCAAUUAGCGCGGCGAAAGGGUGAGUAACACAUAGGUAACGUACCUUGAGCACGAGGAUAGUCCAUCGAAAGAUGGAGCAAUACUCGAUGAAGUCGCAUGAAUUCAGAUUCGAGCGAUCAAAGGGCGGGGAUUCCUUUAUCGGGACCUGCCGGCUCGGGAUCGGCCUAUGUCCCAUCAGCUUGUUGGUAGGGUAAAGGCCUACCAAGGCAACGACGGGUAGCCGGACUGAGAGGUUGACCGGCCUCAUUGGGACUGAGACACUGCCCAGACUCCUACGGGAGGCUGCAGGGAUGAAUAUUCCGCAAUGGGCGAAAGCCUGACGGAGCGACGCCGCGUGUGGGAAGAAGCUCUUCGGAGUGUAAACCACCGUCAGGGGUUACCAAGCAAAUCCCUUUAAUAGAGGGAGGCGUUGAGGAGCCCCAGAGGAAGCCACGGCUAACUUCGUGCCAGCAGCCGCGGUAAGACGAAGGUGGCAAGCGUUGUUCGGAAUCACUGGGCUUAAAGAGCACGUAGGCGGCCCGUUAAGCGUUUUGUGAAAUCCCUCGGCUCAACCGAGGAAUUGCUUGGCGAACUGGCGGGCUUGAGGCAGGUAGAGGCGCGCGGAACUCUUGGUGGAGCGGUGAAAUGCGUAGAUAUCAAGAGGAACGCCAGCGGCGAAAGCGGUGCGCUGGGCCUGAUUGAGGUUUCAGAUCCUAUUCGUAGGAUUCGGAGUCUCUUCUGACGCUGAGGUGCGAAAGCC